ACGUAGGGUGCAAGCGUUGUCCGGAAUUAUUGGGCGUAAAGAGCUCGUAGGCGGUUUGUCGCGUCUGCUGUGAAAACCUGAGGCUCAACCUCAGACCUGCAGUGGGUACGGGCAAGCUAGAGUGCGGUAGGGGAGAUGGGAAUUCCUGGUGUAGCGGUGGAAUGCGCAGAUAUCAGGAGGAACACCGAUGGCGAAGGCACAUCUCUGGGCCGUAACUGACGCUGAGGAGCGAAAGCGUGGGGAGCGAACAGGAUUAGAUACCCUGGUAGUCCACGCCGUAAACGGUGGGUGCUAGUUGUGGGUCACAUUCCACGUGAUCCGUGACGAAGUUAACACAUUAAGCACCCCGCCUGGGGAGUACGGUCGCAAGACUA
rnacentral:rRNA from 1 species